rnacentral:rRNA from 1 species
CGCGUAUGUAACCUACCUCAUAGCGGGGGAUAACUAUUGGAAACGAUAGCUAAUACCGCAUAAGAGAGACUAACGCAUGUUAGUAAUUUAAAAGGGGCAAUUGCUCCACUAUGAGAUGGACCUGCGUUGUAUUAGCUAGUUGGUGAGGUAAAGGCUCACCAAGGCGACGAUACAUAGCCGACCUGAGAGGGUGAUCGGCCACACUGGGACUGAGACACGGCCCAG